rnacentral:rRNA from 1 species
UACCCCUACCGCGGCGGGGAUGGGGACUCAGCACAGAGCGGCGCAACGCUCGACGCCCAGGCAGAUGUGCCCUCUGCCAAUUGGCCUCGGGCGCAACUUGCGUUCAAAGACUCGAUGGUUCGCGGGAUUUUGUAAUUCGCACCACGUAUCGCAUUUCGCUGC